rnacentral:rRNA from 1 species
AACGCGAAGAACCUUACCCAGGCUUGAACAGCGAGUGACCAUCGACGAAAGUUGACUUCCGCAAGGACACUCGUAGAGGUGCUGCAUGGCUGUCGUCAGCUCGUGUCGUGAGAUGUUGGGUUAAGUCCCGCAACGAGCGCAACCCUUGUCUUCUGUUGCCAUCAGGUUAAGCUGGGCACUCUGGAGAGACUGCCGGUGAUAAACCGGAGGAAGGUGGGGAUGACGUCAAGUCAGCAUGGCCUUUAUGUCUGGGGCCACACACGUGCUACAAUGGCCGGCACAAACCGUCGCAAACCUGCAAGGGGGAGCUAAUCGGAGAAAGUCGGUCUCAGUUCGGAUCGUAGGCUGCAACUCGCCUGCGUGAAGUUGGAAUCGCUAGUAAUCGCGGAUCAGCACGCCGCGGUGAAUACGUUCCCGGGCCUUGUACACACCGUAGUAC